AUGUUGUACUUUCUGCACAAUGGGAAUUAUAAGUGCAUGGAGAUUAAUGAAGAUUGCUUAUUAGAGCAUGUUCUACUUCUGUCCAAUGUAUGCAUGUUGAUAGUUCUAUCUCUAAUAAAAGACUGCUUAUUAAUGAAAUUCUUUUAUGUUUUGGCAUAGAAGAACAGGGCAUAUUUCAAGAGAAAAUUGUUUUAUGUUUUGGCAUAAAAAUGUCGGAUUCUUGCACAAUACACCACUGCUGGUACUCCUCAUCAAAAUGGAGUUGUAGAGAGACGAAACAAAAUGUUGAAGGAAAUGGUGAGGAGCAUGAUGACGAGCCUAAAUUCUUGAGGGAAAAAGUAUUGAAGAUAACCAUGCACCGUGUACCAAGUAAGUCUGUUCCUAAGACGCCAUUUGAACAAUCGACAGGUAUGAAGCCUAGUUUGUUACAUUUCAUGUUUGGGGUUGUAACCCUGAAACUAAAGAGAAGCUUAAUCCAAGGAUUGUGA
rnacentral:lncRNA from 1 species